CCUACGGGUGGCAGCAGUGAGGAAUAUUGGUCAAUGGUCGAGAGUCUGAACCAGCCAAGUAGCGUGAAGGAUGACUGCCCUAUGGGUUGUAAACUUCUUUUAUACAGGAAUAAAACGCGGCACGUGUGAUUUUUUGCAUGUACCUUAUGAAUAAGGAUCGGCUAAUUCCGUGCCAGCAGCCGCGGUAAUACGGAGGAUCCGAGCGUUAUCCGGAUUUAUUGGGUUUAAAGGGAGCGUAGAUGGGUUGUUAAGUGUGUUGUGAAAGUUUGUGGCUCAACCGUAAAAUUGCAAUGGAUACUGGCAGUCUUGAGUACAGUUGAGGUAUGCGGAAUUCGUGGUGUAGCGGUGAAAUGCUUAGAUAUCACGAAGAACCCCGAUUGCGAAGGCAGCUUACGAAACUGUGACUGACAUUGAUGCUCGAAGGUGUGGGUAUCGAACAGGAUUAGAUACCCUGGUAGUC
rnacentral:rRNA from 1 species